UUAUUGAAAAUGAAAGUGAGUUAGAGGACAAGUGAUGACAAAUGAUAAAUGAGUUAACUUAAUAUGAAAAAACUAAAGUCAUGUAAAACCGAAUAUUCAUUCAUUAAAGUUUAGCUCCGAGUUGGCCAAGUCCACUGAAGGGUGAUUCUGGGACCUGGCUGGCUGUCCACGACUGGAGCGGGAUCCUCUGAUACAUUGAAUGGCGGAGCGUAGGAGAGAGAAGGGAAAGGCCACAUCAAGAAACUGGCUGAACAGAUAGUUUAUUUAGCCUUUUCUCUCUUUGUAUCUCUCAUUUCAUAAUCCAUAAACAUUUUAAUGAAUGAAUAUUUUCAUUUUAAAAA